AUCCAACAAAGUCAAAUCAACCUUGACCAAGGCCCAAACACAUUAGUCAAACUUCACAAGUUAAUAAAAAUAGCUCAACACAAUUUAUUCACAAUUAAACAAUUAAAAAAUGAAUUAAAUUAAAUCAUGUUUGAUCAAAAACCUAAAACCUCUUCAAAACACCAAAUACAUGGCCAAGAGAUUUAUCAUAGGUUAAACAAGGUCAAAGGACC
rnacentral:lncRNA from 1 species